rnacentral:rRNA from 1 species
GACGAACCGUGCGAACGUUGUUCGGAAUCACUGGGCUUAAAGGGCGCGUAGGCGGCUCGACAAGUCGGGGGUGAAAUCUUUCGGCUCAACCGGAAAAAGGGCCUCCGAUACUGUCGAGCUCGAGGGAGGUAGGGGCGGACGGAACUUCCGGUGGAGCGGUGAAAUGCGUUGAUAUCGGAAGGAACGCCAAUGGUGAAAACAGGUAGCUGGGAGUGUGCUGACGCUGAGACACGAAAGCCAGGGGAGCGAACGGG